CUUACAGCACCUUCAGGAUGUGGCCAGUACUUCACCACAACUAUGGGCACUAUCAAGGGCUGGAACCACGACGGUAUCUAUCUGUCUAACCAGAACUACGCUAUUUGUAUCAGGAAAGACGUCGACAGCUGUUCCACGACGUACCUGGACAACAGAGAUGUAAUAUUUCGGCCAUUCUGUGACGACACCUUUGAGUGGCCCUACAAUGUGAACGGUUUACCUGCCACGUCCUUCACCUGCAUCAGUACACCUGCCUUCAUACCCUCCGCGCCCCUCACUGUGUCACUUCAAGGCCCCAACUACCUCU